ensembl:lncRNA
UUCAUGUUAAAAUGUGAAUUUUAAUCAUAAAAACUGUUUUCUGUAAAUAUAGUUAUAUCUACCUCUCUGCAUACAGCUUGGUUCACAUAUAUACAGAUAUGAUAUACACAGAUGUUAUCUGUAGCACAGAACAAAAUCAGUUCGAGAAACAUGUACCCGCUGGGAUGAAUCCCAGCUUUCCUUAGGCCUUCUAAAUGAUUCCCACCGAAGAGAGAGGACAACAGAGCAAGAUGCAGGACAUUCAGGGAGCUGUAUCAACUGUCUUACUAAUUUCAUCCUAGGAGCUGAAGACUUGAAACAAAACUAGAUUCCGUUUCUCUUAUUGCUAUGACUUACACUGGGAUAUUCAUCACAGUAGGGGUUUGACAUUUAAGGCGACGGGGAGGCUAUGCUGAUCUUAAACUUGGAAAACACAGAACUUCUCCCAAGUUUCUUUUUCAGAAAAGACUUACUCGUCAGAUCGAUUUAAAAAAAAAAAAAAAAAUUCGGCCAACAAGCCUGAGAUGUACAAAGGAGGUUAGUUUUGUUUUCCUCUACCCCAUACCCCUCAGGUCUCCUACCCAGUCUUCUCAAAAGCACAGAAUCUACAGCUUUCCUCACUGGUCUUGGAGGGCUAGAUUGAAACUCAGUCUUUGUUUGAUUUGGACAAAGGAAGGCUCCUCUGUCCAUGGGAUUUUCUAGGCAAGAACACUGGAGUGGGUUGCCAUUUCCUUCUCCAGGGGAUCUUCCCGACCCAGAGAUUAAAUCCACGUCUCUUGCAUUAGCAGGAGACGCAAGUGGAUUCUUUGCCACUUGCGCCACCUGGGUAGUUUCAUUUCAAAACAAAAACAAGUUCCUGAGGUCCCCGUCUUCCUGGAGGGUUGUUUGUACUGCCAUUAAAAGGUUAACGAAAACGUCACAUCACUGCCCUUUGCAAAAGCCUCCCCAAAGCCCUUGGUUUAAAGGUGAGUAAGCUCAUCUUUUUUACUCUGUUUGAAGGGCUUUCAGUAUAUCAAGACAAAUAGCAAGUUUGCCCUCAUAACCACCAGAAUGAAAAAGUGGUUCAGCUAUUAUUUCAUUUAUCUUUACCUUUAUCUUCUAGCUAAAACAGGUAGUUAGACUGAUCAAUGACUCUUCACAUGUGGUAUUGAGAAUUAUCUGCACCCUGUGCUAGACUUAAAUUUCCCAUCUUGCUUUUUCACGUGGGACAAACAAGUUAUAAAUGCAAAUUCCUAGGCUAAAUAACUUCUAUCAAUAUAUCAAUGAAUUCAGCUUCCCUUCUCCAGCCAAAUGGAAGACACAACGCCAUGGUGAGUGAUGAUGGCAGCCUUCUAAUCCACAGCAAUCACAACUCACUGAGGACUGUACGGGCACUUACCUUAGAAGGGAUCUAUGCUAGGCCUAAGGGGUGCUUUGUGCUUAGCAAAAGCCAAAGCUAAUUCAGAACUGUUAUUUGGCCCAUACUUUCUGGUCUGGGGAAAGAUAAGUGCUACCAUUUCUGACUCCUUCAGAAUAGUCCUAAUCCAGAGGACAACUGGACAUUGUCCCAAAGGCUGAAAAGUACCAUCUGCCAAGCCUGCACAACUGAAAAAAUCCAUUUUGCCAGAACUUUGUCACAUCUGACUAGACAUCAGCAACCUCCAAGCCUGGAUUCUAGGCCCACAAGGACUCUGACCACCUAGAGUUUCUUCUGACUUCAUCCAAUGAUGACCCAGUGGCCCCCACGUCUCAAGUCAGCAAUGUUUCCGGCUUAG